rnacentral:rRNA from 1 species
UGACCUCAAAUCAGGUGGGACUACCCGCUGAACUUA